rnacentral:rRNA from 1 species
UACGUAGGGGGCUAGCGUUGUCCGGAUUUAUUGGGCGUAAAGAGCGUGUAGGCGGCCAGGUAGGUCUGCUGUGAAAACUCGAGGCUCAACCUCGAGACGUCGGCGGAAACCAUCUGGCUAGAGUCCGGAAGAGGAGAGUGGAAUUCCUGGUGUAGCGGUGAAAUGCGCAGAUAUCAGGUGGAACACCGAUGGCGAAGGCAGUGAUCUGGGCCAGUACUGACGCUGAGGUGCGAAAGCGUGGGGAGCAAACAGG